rnacentral:rRNA from 1 species
AACGCUGGCUGUGUGCCUAAUACAUGCAUGUCGAGCGAAGUUCUUCGGAACUUAGCGGCGAAUGGGUGAGUAACACGUACUCAACGUACCCUUUAGAUUGGGAUAGCGGUUGGAAACAGCCGAUAAUACCAAAUAUGCACAUUUUUCGCAUGAAAAGUGUGUGAAAGGAGCAAUUGUUCCGCUAAAGGAGCGGGGUGCGCAACAUUAGCUAGUUGGUGAGGUAACGGCCCACCAAGGCGAUGAUGUUUAGCGGGGUUGAGAGACUGAACCGCCACACUGGGACUGAGAUACGGCCCAGACUCCUACGGGAGGCAGCAGUAGGGAAUAUUCCACAAUGGACGAAAGUCUGAUGGAGCGACACAGCGUGCAGGAUGAAGGCCCCAUGGGUUGUAAACUGCUGUGGUAAGGGAAGAAAAAGCAGAAGAGUGGAACGCUUUUGCCUUGACGGUACCUUAUUAGAAAGCGACGGCUAACUAUGUGCCAGCAGCCGCGGUAAUACAUAGGUCGCAAGCGUUAUCCGGAAUUAUUGGGCGUAAAGCGUCUGUAGGUUGUUUGUUAAGUCUGACGUCAAAUUUUGGGGCUCAACCCCAAAYCGCGUUGGAUACUGGCAUACUAGAGUUAUGUAGAGGUUAGCGGAAUUCCUUGUGAAGCGGUGGAAUGCGUAGAUAUAAGGAAGAACACCAAUAUGGCGAAGGCAGCUAACUGGACAUAYACUGACACUGAGAGACGAAAGCGUGGGGAGCAAACAGGAUUAGAUACCCUGGUAGUCCACGCCCUAAACGAUGAUCAUUAGCUGAUGGAAAAUUCAUCGGCGCAGCUAACGCAUUAAAUGAUCCGCCUGAGUAGUACGUUCGCAAGAAUAAAACUUAAAGGAAUUGACGGGGAUCCGCACAAGCGGUGGAGCAUGUGGUUUAAUUUGAAGAUACGCGUAGAACCUUACCCACUCUUGACAUCUUCUGCAAARCUAUAGAGAUAUAGUGGAGGUUAACAGAAUGACAGAUGGUGCAUGGUUGUCGUCAGCUCGUGUCGUGAGAUGUACGGUUAAGUCCUGCAACGAGCGCAACCCUUGUCCUUAGUUACUAACAUUAAGUUGAGCACUCUAAGGAGACUGCCCGAGUAAUUGGGAGGAAGGUGGGGACGACGUCAAAUCAUCAUGCCUCUUACGAGUGGGGCAACACACGUGCUACAAUGGUCGGUACAAAGAGAAGCAAACUGGUGACAGGGAGCAAACCUCAAAAAACCGAUCUCAGUUCGGAUUGUAGUCUGCAACUCGACUACAUGAAGUCGGAAUCGCUAGUAAUCGUAGAUCAGCUACGCUACGGUGAAUACGUUCUCGGGUCUUGUACACACCGCCCGUCAAACCAUGGGAGCUGGUAAUGCCCGAAGUCGGUUUAUAAACAAACUGCCUAAGGCAGGACUGGUGACUGGGGUUAAGUCGUAACAAGGUAUCCCUACGAGAACGUGGGGAUGGAUCACCUCCUUUCU